UGCUUCUUUUUUUAGUGAAGCUUUAGCCAAUGAAUACAUACAUAUUCGAGAAACCCUUAACAAAAUUCACCAACUUGCUACUGGUACAGAGAAAAAUAGUGUAGUUUGUUACACAGUCCUUGAAAAGAUUGAACAUUUUGUUUCAACAUGUAAGUCGACUGCUAUAUUUACCCUUUAGAUGGCAGUGUUGUACAAAAGGCAAAUGUUGGUCUGAGGUUGUUGAUAAGAACUAUGCAACCUUUUCAGUGCAGAAUAACCUAAUAAGCCUCCAGAGUGACAUUUCCCUGCAGCUACAGACAUUACUGGACAACGUAAAUUCUCAAAAAGAGACAGUGACAGGAUUAGAAGACAAGAUGGAAAAGGUCUGUAUAUAGCUAAAGCAUAGAAAUACUUUUCACUAUCUAUCUCAUUAUUGGUUUAUAAUUCCAUGCUUCCAAUGUUUAGACCACUACAAACCUUAGCUGCUCUGUGCUAAGCUUAAUGACCAAUGUGGAUGGCCUAAAAAAGGACCAAAAAACAGAACGAGAUAUGCUUGAAGAGGCCCUUAAGCUGCUGAGUGCUUUACUGUCCAAGAAUUCACCCAAACGCAGCCAAGUGACAGUAAUGGACAGCUUCAUUCAGACGUCACCAAGCCUCACACAUGCUUUGCCUGGAAGUUUGCAGGAAAAUCAGCUGGAGCGCACACAGCCUGAUGCAUUUGGUAAAGCAGAUGCUCCUAAGGAGAACAGAGUUUGUGUUGGAAAGAGGAAACCCAAAAGACUCUCUGUGAGACGUAAAAAGCGCCCUCUAGUGAUGGCUCAGAAUCACAAGCCUGCAGUCCCUCUGGAAAACAGCCCUUCCCUCCUGAAUGGUAACAAGUUGUCUCUGUCCGAGUGUCACAACAAAAAUGGGAGCAAGAGUUUCAUCACCCCCAUGAGCUGCUGGUCCCAGGACAGCAACAGCUCAGCCUGCCUGAAUGGGAUCGACCCCAUCCUGGACAGGGCAGAGGCCUCAGCACAGCCUGGAGGCCUGUGGCAAUUGUUUGAAUUGGACUUUUAGAGGAUGGCUAUACUAAAGUAAAUUGCAGACACC
ensembl:lncRNA